CCGAGUUUACAACUCCCAAACCCCUGUGAACAUACCACUCGUUGCCUCGGCGGAUCAGCCCGCUCCCGGUAAAACGGGACGGCCCGCCAGAGGACCCCUAAACUCUGUUUCUAUAUGUAACUUCUGAGUAAAACCAUAAAUAAAUC
rnacentral:misc_RNA from 1 species